AUACGUAGGGUGCAAGCGUUAAUCGGAAUUACUGGGCGUAAAGCGUGCGCAGGCGGUUUUUUAAGACAGUGGUGAAAUCCCCGGGCUCAACCUGGGAACUGCCAUUGUGACUGCAAGGCUGGAGUGCGGCAGAGGGGGAUGGAAUUCCGCGUGUAGCAGUGAAAUGCGUAGAUAUGCGGAGGAACACCGAUGGCGAAGGCAAUCCCCUGGGCCUGCACUGACGCUCAUGCACGAAAGCGUGGGGAGCAAACAGGAUUAGAUACCCUGGUAGUCCACGCCCUAAACGAUGUCAACUGGUUGUUGGGGAUUUAUUUUCUCAGUAACGAAGCUAACGCGUGAAGUUGACCGCCUGGGGAGUACGGCCGCAAGGUUAAAACUCAAAGGAAUUGACGGGG
rnacentral:rRNA from 1 species